AACGAACGCUGGCGGCAUGCCUAACACAUGCAAGUCGAACGAGAUCUUCGGGUCUAGUGGCGCACGGGUGCGUAACGCGUGGGAAUCUGCCCUUUGGUUCGGAAUAACAGUUGGAAACGACUGCUAAUACCGGAUGAUGACGAAAGUCCAAAGAUUUAUCGCCAGAGGAUGAGCCCGCGUAGGAUUAGCUAGUUGGUGUGGUAAAGGCGCACCAAGGCGACGAUCCUUAGCUGGUCUGAGAGGAUGAUCAGCCACACUGGGACUGAGACACGGCCCAGACUCCUACGGGAGGCAGCAGUGGGGAAUAUUGGACAAUGGGCGAAAGCCUGAUCCAGCAAUGCCGCGUGAGUGAUGAAGGCCUUAGGGUUGUAAAGCUCUUUUACCCGGGAUGAUAAUGACAGUACCGGGAGAAUAAGCUCCGGCUAACUCCGUACCAGCAGCCGCCGUAAAAC
rnacentral:rRNA from 1 species